ACCUUAGUACCUCAAGAAUUACUCUUGUCCCUUUUAUAAUAAAAUGAUCACUCUAAAACGCUAAGCGGAGGAUCAAGUGAGCUUUCACACUUUCACAACUUUAAGACUUCAAGAUCCUUUGCUUGAUUCAAAAAUUGAUUAGAACUUCAAUUGGAUCUUGAAUCAUUUGACUUAUGAGACUUCAGAUGUAUUCUUCUUGAUCAUAUGUCAUCAUUUAAAACUUAUUGGACAAACGCAUUCAACUCCUUCUUCGAUAGUUGUCACAUAGAACUUUUGAAGAGAACAAUCAAAUCCCAAAAGUUGUUUGACUUAUGGAGUUGUAAUCUUCUUGACAGUUGUCAUCAGUUGUCA
rnacentral:lncRNA from 1 species